rnacentral:rRNA from 1 species
CCCAAACCCAAUGUGAACGUUACCAAACUGUUGCCUCGGCGGGAUCUCUGCCCCGGGUGCGUCGCAGCCCCGGACCAAGGCGCCCGCCGGAGGACCAACCAAAACUCUUUUUGUAUACCCCCUCGCGGGUUUUUUAUAAUCUGAGCCUUCUCGGCGCCUCUCGUAGGCGUUUCGAAAAUGAAUCAAAACUUUCAACAACGGAUCUCUUGGUUCUGGCAUCGAUGAAGAACGCAGCGAAAUGCGAUAAGUAAUGUGAAUUGCAGAAUUCAGUGAAUCAUCGAAUCUUUGAACGCACAUUGCGCCCGCCAGUAUUCUGGCGGGCAUGCCUGUCCGAGCGUCAUUUCAACCCUCGAACCCCUCCGGGGGGUCGGCGUUGGGGAUCGGCCCUGCCUUGGCGGUGGCCGUCUCCGAAAUACAGUGGCGGUCUCGCCGCAGCCUCUCCUGCGCAGUAGUUUGCACACUCGCAUCGGGAGCGCGGCGCGUCCACAGCCGUUAAACACCCAACUUCUGAAAUGUUGACCUCGGAUCAGGUAGGAAUACCCGCUGAACUUAA